GCAUCUCGGAAUCGGUGUU
rnacentral:snRNA from 1 species